rnacentral:lncRNA from 1 species
CCUCUGAACUCAGACUCUCUCCCAGUGAUCAUAGAACUAGAUUCCAAUUCAAAAUAUGAUCGUCCAAAUUAUCCUCUAUAUCUGACCAUCUCCUCCAAUUGGUAUUGAUCAUCUAGACUUAUCUGAAUGGCAACCUUAAUCUUUGCCUCCUAAUCAUCUGGAAUAGAGAUCUUCUUUGACUCUCUAGAGUAAUAGGAAGGUAGUUUUGCAGCUUGAUAGUCCACCUCCAUUCUCUUCUACUUUUUUCUUUCCUUCAUUACUUUGAAAUCAGCAAAGUGCUUCUUCAUCAACUGCUAGAUCUCUUAUGAGUAUUUCUGAUAUAUGGCUACAUCAGGAUAACCAUCAGUCAAGUACUACUUCAACCU